rnacentral:rRNA from 1 species
GUCGAGAAUUUUUCUCAAUGGGGGAAACCCUGAAGGAGCGACGCCGCGUGGAGGAUGAAGGCUUUCGGGUUGUAAACUCCUGUCAUCUGGGAACAAAACCCGCAAGGGCUUGAUAGUACCAGAAGAGGAAGAGACGGCUAACUCUGUGCCAGCAGCCGCGGUAAUACAGAGGUCUCGAGCGUUGUUCGGAUUCAUUGGGCGUAAAGGGCGCGUAGGCGGCGGGGUAAGUCUGGUGUGAAAUCUCGGAGCUCAACUCCGAAAUUGCACUGGAUACUGCUCUGCUAGAGGGCUGGAGAGGAGAUCGGAAUUCACGGUGUAGCAGUGAAAUGCGUAGAUAUCGUGAGGAAGACCAGUGGCGAAGGCGGAUCUCUGGACAGCUCCUGACGCUGAGGCGCGAAGGCUAGGGGAGCAAACGGGAUUAGAAACCCGAGUAGUCC